GUGUCAUUUGAAAGGAUAGCUAGUUAGUGCUUCUCUAGACAAAGAUGGAACACAUCUAUAGUCGGUAUAUAAAGUUAGUAUAAAUUAUAUUAUUAU